rnacentral:rRNA from 1 species
AGUUAACGUUGGCGGCGUGCCUAACACAUGCAAGUCGAACGCGUCCUAAGGGCAACUUUAGGAUGAGUGGCGAACGGGUGAGUAUCACGUGGGUAAUCUUCCUUCAAGUGGGGAAUAAGCUCUCGAAAGGGAGUCUAAUACCGCAUGACAUUCCGGGACACAAGUCCCGUAAUCAAAGCCGCAAGGCGCUUGAAGAUGAGCCUGCGUCCUAUUAGCUAGUUGGUGGGGUAACGGCCUACCAAGGCUUAGAUGGGUAGCCGGCCUGAGAGGGUGAACGGCCACACUGGGACUGAGACACGGCCCAGACUCCUACGGGAGGCAGCAGUGAGGAAUUUUGCGCAAUGGGGGAAACCCUGACGCAGCGACGCCGCGUGGAGGAUGAAGGCCUUCGGGUCGUAAACUCCUGUCAGAGGUGAAGAAUAACCGCAAGGGUUUGACGGUAACCUCAGAGGAAGCCCGGCUAACUACGUG